rnacentral:tRNA from 1 species
GCGUAAUUGGUUUAGUGGUAAAAUUCUCCGUUGCCAUCGGGGAGUCCUGGGUUCGAUUCCCAGAUUACGCA